UACGUAGGGUGCAAGCGUUAAUCGGAAUUACUGGGCGUAAAGCGUGCGCAGGCGGUGAUGUAAGACAGAUGUGAAAUCCCCGGGCUCAACCUGGGAACUGCAUUUGUGACUGCAUCGCUGGAGUGCGGCAGAGGGGGAUGGAAUUCCCGGUGUAGCGGUGAAAUGCGCAGAUAUCGGGAAGAACACCUAUGGCGAAGGCAGCUCUCUGGGACGGUACUGACGCUCAUGCACGAAAGCGUGGGGAGCAAACAGG
rnacentral:rRNA from 1 species